CAAAACAGAACAACCAGAGAACAAACUAUCAUCCCCUCUGGCGGGCCUGUCUCUUAUUUGUUUCCCGCCCGCUGGUUUCCGUGGUUUCGCGAACUGCUCCGAUCACUCCUCGCGCUCUUCGAUUCUGGGCUUUGCGGCUGUUGCUUCCGGACUUAACAAAACCCCGGCACGAAAAGUGUCAAGGAACAUGCAACAAAAUGGCUACUCAUCCGUGGCCCCCGGAGACGGUGUGCCCGCGGAUCUUUAGACAAAAAAUAUAAAGUCAAAAACGACUCUCGGAAACGGAUAUCUCGGCUCUCGCAUCUAUAAAAAACGUAGCGAAAUGCGAUACUUGGUGUGAAUUGCAGAAUCCCGUGAACCAUCGAGUCUUUGAACGCAAGUUGCGCCCCAAGCUUUCUGGCCGAGGGCACGUCUGCCUGGGUGUCACAAAUCGUCGUCCCCUCCAUCCUCUCGAGGACUGCGGAACGGAAGCUGCUCUCCCGUGUGUUACCGCACGCGUUUGGCCAAAAUCCGAGCCAAGCACGCGGGGAGCGUCUCGACAUGCGGUGGUGAAAACAAAGCCUCUUCAUAUCGCCGGUCCGCUCCUGUCCGAAAUCUCUAGAUUCCCUUGAGCCCUCAACGCGACCCCGGGUCAG
rnacentral:rRNA from 1 species